rnacentral:rRNA from 1 species
UGGGGAAUUUUGGACAAUGGGCGAAAGCCUGAUCCAGCAAUGCCGCGUGUGUGAAGAAGGCCUUCGGGUUGUAAAGCACUUUUGUCCGGAAAGAAAUCCUUGGCUCUAAUACAGUCGGGGGAUGACGGUACCGGAAGAAUAAGCACCGGCUAACUACGUGCCAGCAGCCGCGGUAAUACGUAGGGUGCAAGCGUUAAUCGGAAUUACUGGGCGUAAAGCGUGCGCAGGCGGUUUGCUAAGACCGAUGUGAAAUCCCCGGGCUCAACCUGGGAACUGCAUUGGUGACUGGCAGGCUAGAGUAUGGCAGAGGGGGGUAGAAUUCCACGUGUAGCAGUGAAAUGCGUAGAGAUGUGGAGGAAUACCGAUGGCGAAGGCAGCCCCCUGGGCCAAAUACUGACGCUCAUGCACGAAAGCGUGGGGAGCAAAACAGGAUUAGAUACCCUGGUAGUCCACGCCCUAAAACGAUGUCAACUAGUUGUUGGGGAUUCAUUUCCUUAGUAACGUAGCUAACGCGUGAAGUUGACCGCCUGGGGAGUACGGUCGCAAGAUUAAAACUUAAAGGAAUUGACGGGGUCAUA